UACGGAGGGUGCAAGCGUUAUCCGGAUUCACUGGGUUUAAAGGGUCCGUAGGCGGGCCUGUAAGUCAGUGGUGAAAGCCCAUCGCUCAACGAUGGAACGGCCAUUGAUACUGCAGGCCUUGAAUUACUGUGAAGUAACUAGAAUAUGUAGUGUAGCGGUGAAAUGCUUAGAUAUUACAUGGAAUACCAAUUGCGAAGGCAGGUUACUAACAGUGGAUUGACGCUGAUGGACGAAAGCGUGGGUAGCGAACAGG
rnacentral:rRNA from 1 species